rnacentral:tRNA from 1 species
AGAAUUGUGGCUCAGUGGCCGAGGAUCUGCUUAGUAUGCAGAAGGUGCCGGGUUCAAUUCCCAGCAUUUCCC